AAGACUAUAUUUAUUCCUUAAAAAACUACAAACAUCUCUCUAGCCAAAUGCAUCAUAUCAUUGCAGGCACAGCAUAACAUAAAAGCUUUGCAUCAUAUCAUUGCAGGCACAGCAUAACAUAAAAGCUUUGUGCCUGCAUUUCUAUACUGAACCCCCCCUAAAUUUUAUUAACAACAAAGCAUUCAAACAUACAGUUAUAAUCAGAAAUAUAAAACAAAGUUCAGGGAAAUAAUCCAAAAUGCAUAAAUUAAUUAUGUGCCAAUCACAUGAUUGAUUCCCCACCAUUCCACUUAACAGAGUACAAUAUUAGAACAUACAUGCCACAUCAUAAUCCUAUAGAAAAAUCUAGCAGAACCGCAACAUGUCAUCAUACCCAGUUAGUCUGCAUUAGAGUGUGCAAGCAAAUACCACAUGCAU
rnacentral:misc_RNA from 1 species